AGACUCCACGCCCGUGGGAGUAGUGAGAGGCAUAGGAUGGGACAGAAGGAGAUGCUAAACAGUGAUGCAGAAGCAGCGAAGACCUCCGCAAUCCUGCAGGGAAGCUUGGGAGCUGGUACGGCCCUGCAGAGAUGCACUGAGGGAAGCCAAGCUGCCAUGUUGUAAGCUGCCCUAUGAAGGGACCCACAUGGCAAAGAAUGGAGAAUGACCCCAGCCAGCCAAGAACUCUCAGCCUACCGGCCCAUGAGGAACUGAAUCCUGCCAACAGCGAUGUGAGUGAACUUGGAAGUGGAUCCUUCUCCAGUGGCACCAUCAGGUGAGACUAUAGCCCCAGCCAACAUGGGAGUUGUUUCAGAAGAAAGGAAGUAUUAAGCCAGAUGCUUUACAGACUUUAUCUUGGACCUCAAAUUCAUUCUGUGAGAUACAUGUUGGUAUCUCCAUUGUGUAGAUAAGAAAACCAAGACUCAAAAAGGUGAAAACUUACUAAAUGUCAUAUGAUGAAUGAAUAGAAGAGAGGGGAUUUGAACUCAGGACUGAUAACACAAAAGCCCACACUCUGGUUAUUGCAGAAAUAUACUGUGUUUUUAUUUCCACGUUUCCAUCAGAACUUAAAAAUAAAAAUGGACAGUUGCUCAAUUAUCCCACUAACAAACAUAUGGCAGCAGCAAGAACUGGGACCACAGCACCAUGCUAACCAAGGCCAGGCCUUCCCUGAGUUGGUAUACACUCCCGUACAGCAGCAUCAGAAGCUGCUCAGAGCCUGCAACAUCCUCUUGAGGCAGAAUCCUCCAUGUGCAAAGUGAUCUAAUGGUCAGUUUUUAAAAGAAAAUAGCUGAAUCUGAUGCCAGUAUGGGCUAAGUACUACUUCUAAGAACCUUACAUGUCUUAACUCACUUAAACAAUCCUACAAGAAAGGCACUAUUAUAGUCAUCCAAUUUACGGAUGAGGAGACCAAGGCACAGAGAAUUUAGAUAAUUUUCUCCCAGACAUUCAGCUAUAAGGAGCAGAGCCAGGAUUUAAACUCUGACAAUUUGUCUCCACAGUCGCAUACAAGACCCCCAGAAUUCUCUCCUUGGUCCCAGGCUAUCAUGUUGCCUGGGUUCCCAAUACAGCACUGGGUGUAGCUGGCCUUGGUUCCAGGCCUUCACCUUCUGGAUUCAACCUGGCUACCAACACCCUUGAUUCUGACUUUCUCCAUUCACCUCCUCGUUCCCAGUUCCCAGCUAGCCCUUUCUGCCUUGACCCCAUCUGCCCUGGCUCUUAAGCUGUUCACACCUGCAUCCCAUCCCAUGCCUGCACCCCAGCCCUCACCUGCCUCCUGACCUGUCUUACAGCUCACCAUCCAGCCCGCCUGAGGCUCUGCCCACUGACAGGCUACUCCCAGGACAAUACUAGCUCCCCAGGACAAGCACUACACCCAGACGGCAUGUCAUUCAACAAGUCGGGGGCAGGCUUAAGGUGAAAAAUCAUCCCAAUUCUGGAGAUAUUAUCUGAAAAAAAAAGACUGUUUUCAGGAAACAAUCUUCCCAUCUGUGGUGAUUUUUAAAAUAUAGUUCCCAAAUUUUAUGUGGGAAAGGAAAGUAGCAAUAUAGAUGCAGGAAGAGCAUUACUGUGUGGAUAAAAAGAUGAUGUAUGCAAAUGAACAUGCUCAGCCUAGAACUUAAAUUAAAGUUACUGCCUGAUAUGGUAGGUACUGUGGUCUGAAUGUGUCCCCCAGAGUUCAUGUGUUGGAAACUUAAUCUCCAGUGCAACAAUGUUGAGCAAUGGAACCUUUAAGAAGUGACUGGGUCAGGAGAGUUCUGCCCUCAUGAAUGAAUUAAUGUCAUUAUUGCAAGAGUUAGUUAUUGCAGGAGUAGGUUCCUGAUUAAAAAGUGAGUCCACCCCCACUUCUCUCUCUUUUUCUGUCACGCACAUAUGCACUCUCUUGCCCUUCUACCUUCCACCAUGUGAUGACACAGCAAGAAGGCCCUCACCAGAUGCAGGCCUCUCAACCUUGGACUUUCCAGCCUCCAGAAUUGUAAGAAAUAAAUCUCUAUUCUUUAUAAAUUACCUAGUCUCUGGCAUUCUGUUACAGCAGCACAAAAUGAAUUAAGACAGUAGGAAAGAUCAUUGACACUGUUACAGACCUCUAAGGCAUGAUGAAAAAGCAAAUAUGCCCAUGUUUAUGCAAAUAGCAGAGUCAGUUAAAGAGGCCAUAACAUUGAUCAUAUGGGACUUCAAUAGCCCUGAAAUGGAUUAGAACAAGAAUUAUGGGAUGGUAAGGAGAGGCCACAGAGCUAGCAGUGAUCAGAAGCUCUUUUCCAGGAGACUUUGUUGAGCAAUCAAAAAGAUCAUGGGCUAUUGGGGGCAGCUAUCUGAAAAGUUGAAUGCAAUGAAGGAUGAAGGAUGGGGCUAAAA
rnacentral:lncRNA from 1 species